rnacentral:rRNA from 1 species
GGGAAAAGGAGCAAUCCGCUUUGAGAUGGCCUCGCGUCCGAUUAGCUAGUUGGUGAGGUAACGGCCCACCAAGGCGACGAUCGGUAGCCGAACUGAGAGGUUGAACGGCCACAUUGGGACUGAGACACGGCCCAGACUCCUACGGGAGGCAGCAGUGGGGAAUAUUGCACAAUGGGGGAAACCCUGAUGCAGCGACGCCGCGUGGAGGAAGAAGGUCUUCGGAUUGUAAACUCCUGUUGUUGAGGAAGAUAAUGACGGUACUCAACAAGGAAGUGACGGCUAACUACGUGCCAGCAGCCGCGGUAAAACGUAGGUCACAAGCGUUGUCCGGAAUUACUGGGUGUAAAGGGAGCGCAGGCGGGAAGACAAGUUGGAAGUGAAAUCCAUGGGCUCAACCCAUGAACUGCUUUCAAAACUGCUUUUCUUGAGUAGUGCAGAGGUAGGCGGAAUUCCCGGUGUAGCGGUGGAAUGCGUAGAUAUCGGGAGGAACACCAGUGGCGAAGGCGGCCUACUGGGCACCAACUGACGCUGAGGCUCGAAAGUGUGGGUAGCAAACAGGAUUAGAUACCCUGGUAGUCCACACUGU